rnacentral:lncRNA from 1 species
GCUUGUACCCCAGGACGUACUUCCCACUUUUCAUAACGAGUUGGAGCCUAGAGUUGAUCGACUCCAGCGACUUUUUCUACAAAGCAAACAUUAAAUACGGACCUAAGGGCCUCGCCUGCAACCGCCUCAAAACCGGACCCAGCUUUUUGAAGCCGAGCCCCUUAAACUUCCGAAGUCGAGGACCCCAAGUCAUUGAGAGGGCCACUGGGAUUCCUUCUGGGGCCCUCCAAAUGCCAGCAGGCAUGCUGUCACCCCCGUGGGCUCACAUCUGCCCGCCCUGGCCAAGACAUCUCUCCACGUGAAUCGUCUUCCGGGCCUGGCCCGCCUCACUCACCGUCUUCUUUGCGGCCACCAUCUUCCUGCCUUAGGAGCGGGACGGCCCCCAACCUAGAAGAGACAGAGAACAGGACAGGAAUUUUAGGAUCCGGAGUUACAAAUGGCAACCCGCAAAGCUCCCCGCGCUGCCUAAACCUCGGUCGGUAGGAGCCCACUCACCAACAGCAGCCGCUAAGAUGGCCGGGGAACGAGAAAGGAAAGACUUCCCACAAUGCAAAGCUCUUCACGGCAGAGCCGGAACUGCGGGACCGGAAGCGGAAACAGAUCGCAAGCAGAAGGGGCGGAGCAAAAGCGGAGGGCAGCUGCCGGUUGCUAUUGGUACCGCUAGCUAGAAUGGCUGCGGGGGCCGUACGCGGCUGCUCAUACCUUUAAUCCCAGCACUUUCGGAGGUUGAGGCGGGAAGAUCUGUUGCGUCCAGCUCAAGGCCAGCCUGGACAACAUAGACCACCCCUGUCUCUACAAAAAAAUAAAAAAGAAAUAAAAAAGAAAUUAGCCGGGCGUGGUGGCGCGCUCCAGUAGUCCUAGCUACUCCCAGCUACGCCGGAGGCUGAGGCGGAGAGGUCGCUUGAGCUCGGUAGGUCGAGGCUGCAGUGAGCCAUGAUCGCGCCACUGCACUCAGCCUGGGCGACAGAGUGAGACUCUGUCUCAAAGAAGGAAAAAAAAGAAUGACGGCGGGGGUGUUCUUUUCCCCCUCUGCGGGCCUUUAAGCUUCGCGGCGUUGUGUUGCUGUUCUGCUGCGAGCUGCGGUCUAACUAAUCGAGGCGCUUAGAACCCGGAGGGAGUUCGAAAAGCCGACUGAAGGUGAGGUGGGAGGGUAGAUGAGAAGAGGCUGCGGCGGCUGCGACCACGGUCUCAAUGCCGCUGAAUUCAUCUUUGUCCUGAGGCGCGGCUCUUGGAGAGCCUUGUGGGUGACUCCGAUGCGCCGCAGCACCCGCAUUUACUCUCCGCUUGGUAGAAGCAGCUGUGUCCUCACCCCUGCGGUCACCCAAGUUACCUGUCCCCUGGAGAACGGUGGCGCCCUGCUCGAGUUUCCCAAAACUCGCCUUUUGUGACUGUGUUAGCGUGAACUUGUGAGCCGAGUUUGCACUGAGAGCGCGAUAAACAGGUCUAAUUUUUUAAAAGUAUUUUUGCUGUUAACGUUGGAUCUUGGUAUAAAUGUCCAGAGACAGACCACUGAAGAUAUUAGGCGCUGAAAAUCCCCACCUAAUCAAUCAGACCAGUGGAUAAGCUAUAUGAGGGAAACCUCUUCCCCUCCUUAAUUAAGCCUCACCAAAAAACGCGUGCUGUACCAGGAAUCAUUUACAUAUAUUUAUUUAAUACUCACAAAAGUCCCAUGAGAUAGUAACCUUUUUAUUGUCCAUUUUACAUAUCUAGGCCUAUUGUCAGAGCUAGGACCAGAGCCCAGGUAACUUAGGUCUCUUCACAAUUAAAGUUGAUUCAGGCCGAAUGCGGUGACUCACGCCUGUAAUCCAAACAUUUUGGAAGUCCGAGGUGAGCGGAUCACCUGAAGUCAGGAGUUCGAGACCAGUCUGGUCAACAUGGUGAAACCCCACCUCUACUAAAAAUACAAAAAGUAGCCAGGUGUGGUGGCUCCUGCCUGCAAUCCCAACUACUUGGGAGGCUGAAGCAGGAGAAUCGCUUGAACCUGGGAGGCAAAGGUAGCAGUGAGCUGAGAUCGGGCCACUGCACUCCAGCCUGGGCGACAAAGCGAGACUCCCUCUCAAAAAAAGUAAUAAGGCCGGGCGCGGUGGCUCACGCCUGUAAUCCCAACACUUUGGGAGGCCGAGGCGGGAGGAUCACGAGGUCAAAAGAUCGAGACCAUCUUGGCCAACAUGGUGAAACCCUGUGUCUACUAAAAAUACAAAACUUAGCUGGGCUUGGUGGCGCGUGCCUGUAGUCCCAGCUACUUGGGAGGGUGAGGCAGGAGAAUCACUUGAACCCAGGAGGUGGAGGUUGCAGUGAGCAGAGAUCACGUCACUGCACUCCAGCCUGGUGACAGAGCGAGACUCUGUCUC